GCUGACGAGUGGCGGACGGGUGAGUAAUGUCUGGGAAACUGCCUGAUGGAGGGGGAUAACUACUGGAAACGGUAGCUAAUACCGCAUAACGUCGCAAGACCAAAGAGGGGGACCUUCGGGCCUCUUGCCAUCGGAUGUGCCCAGAUGGGAUUAGCUAGUAGGUGGGGUAACGGCUCACCUAGGCGACGAUCCCUAGCUGGUCUGAGAGGAUGACCAGCCACACUGGAACUGAGACACGGUCCAGACUCCUACGGGAGGCAGCAGUGGGGAAUAUUGCACAAUGGGCGCAAGCCUGAUGCAGCCAUGCCGCGUGUAUGAAGAAGGCCUUCGGGUUGUAAAGUACUUUCAGCGGGGAGGAAGGGAGUAAAGUUAAUACCUUUGCUCAUUGACGUUACCCGCAGAAGAAGCACCGGCUAACUCCGUGCCAGCAGCCGCGGUAAUACGGAGGGUGCAAGCGUUAAUCGGAAUUACUGGGCGUAAAGCGCACGCAGGCGGUUUGUUAAGUCAGAUGUGAAAUCCCCGGGCUCAACCUGGGAACUGCAUCUGAUACUGGCAAG
rnacentral:rRNA from 1 species